UCGAGCGGCAGCGCGGGGCAACCUGGCGGCGAGCGGCGAACGGGUGAGUAAUGCAUCGGAACAUGUCCUGUCGUGGGGGAUAGCCCGGCGAAAGCCGGAUUAAUACCGCAUGAGCCCGAGAGGGGAAAGUGGGGGACCGCAAGGCCUCACGCGACUGGGUUGGCCGAUGUCCGAUUAGCUAGUUGGCGGGGUAAGAGCCCACCAAGGCGAUGAUCGGUAGCUGGUCUGAGAGGAUGAUCAGCCACACUGGGACUGAGACACGGCCCAGACUCCUACGGGAGGCAGCAGUGGGGAAUUUUGGACAAUGGGGGCAACCCUGAUCCAGCCAUUCCGCGUGAGUGAAGAAGGCCUUCGGGUUGUAAAGCUCUUUUGUCCGGAACGAAACGGCUAGCGUGAAUAUCGCUGGCUACUGACGGUACCGGAAGAAUAAGCACCGGCUAACUACGUGCCAGCAGCCGCGGUAAUACGUAGGGUGCGAGCGUUAAUCGGAAUUACUGGGCGUAAAGCGUGCGCAGGCGGUUUUGUAAGCCAGAUGUGAAAUCCCCGGGCUUAACCUGGGAAUGGCAUUUGGGACUGCAAGGCUGGAGUGCGGCAGAGGAGACUGGAAUUCCUGGUGUAGCAGUGAAAUGCGUAGAUAUCAGGAGGAAUACCGAUGGCGAAGGCAGGUCUCUGGGCUGACACUGACGCUCAUGCACGAAAGCGUGGGGAGCAAACAGGAUUAGAUACCCUGGUAGUCCACGCCCUA
rnacentral:rRNA from 1 species